CGCGUGGGAACCUUCCCAGUGGUACGGAAUAGCUCAGGGAAACUUGAGGUAAUACCGUAUACGCCCCUCGGGGGAAAGAUUUAUCGCCAUUGGAUGGGCCCGCGUCGGAUUAGCUAGUUGGUGGGGUAAUGGCCUACCAAGGCGACGAUCCGUAGCUGGUCUGAGAGGAUGAUCAGCCACACUGGGACUGAGACACGGCCCAGACUCCUACGGGAGGCAGCAGUAGGGAAUAUUGGACAAUGGGCGAAAGCCUGAUCCAGCCAUGCCGCGUGAGUGACGAAGGCCUUCGGGUUGUAAAGCUCUUUUGGCGGGGACGAUAAUGACGGUACCCGCAGAAUAAGCUCCGGCUAACUUCGUGCCAGCAGCCGCGGUAAUACGAAGGGAGCUAGCGUUGUUCGGAAUCACUGGGCGUAAAGCGCACGUAGGCGGAUGUGUCAGUCAGGGGUGAAAUCCCGGAGCUCAACUUCGGAACUGCCCUUGAUACAGCACAUCUGGAGUCCGGAAGAGGUGGGUGGAAUUCCUAGUGUAGAGGUGAAAUUCGUAGAUAUUAGGAAGAACACCGGUGGCGAAGGCGGCCCACUGGUCCGGUACUGACGCUGAGGUGCGAAAGCGUGNGGAGCAAACAGGAUUAGAUACCCUGGUANUCCACGCCGUAAACGAUGGAUGCUAGCCGUCAGCAAGCAUGCUUGUUGG
rnacentral:rRNA from 1 species